UUUUAUUACAAAUUUAAGUUUAAGUGCUUUACUAUUAUAUACCUCUAAAUUGAGAUACUCUUUAUGUAAUUUACUAAAAAUAAAGUUAUAAUAUCUAUCCAAGUAAUCAAUUAGCCAAAAAUCAGGUGCAAUCUACUGCCUGUACAAGAUAACAUAAUUAGACCAAAAUAAGUGGGCUAGGCUAUCUGAUAUUCCUCAUAUUUACAUGAAUGUUCUGUCAUAAUAUCUUCUUGCUGUGCUGUGCUGUGCUUCGAAGCGAAGCACCACCAUCAGCCUACUCUUCAAUCAGCUUCCUUAAGUGCAAGCCAUUUGGUUCAAUUGAACAUGAAAGGAAGAAAUUUGCUUCAUUGCAAUGUUCUGCACUGAGCCCGAGUUAAAGCCAUUUCUUUGUUGUCCUUGUCGAUGAAUGAACUGGAGGGGGUGUCCUGGCAUUCCUUCUAGAGUCAUCAGAAUCAACUGGUGGUUUCCCUCCGAGAGAAGAUCGACGAGAGCUAUCUGACCCUGAUGCUUGAACUCUGUUAAGUGAUUGCUUCAUCAUUGCCCUUGCAUUAGCUGUGAGUGGUGUCUUUAAAUCUUUGCCGUUGCUGCUUGUGCCAUUGAUUGGUGAGAGUACUUCCUUUGAAUCCUGUUGAUUCCUGUAUUUUGAUGGACUCUUCUCAGAGCCAUUAAUCAGUUUUCCAAUGGUUCGCAAAGAUUUCCUUAUUUGAGAUCCUUUUCCAUUAGCACUACCAAUCAUAUUAGUUGUCUGAAAAUCUGUAGGAAGAGCAAGUUCAUUUUGCAUCAUGAUCUGAACCGUGUUUCUUGCUUGCGGUUCAGGUGUAGUUGGUAGCUGAAGAAGUGGAAUUUGUGUCGUACUGUGCAUUUUAACUAAACGCUUUUGAUGGGAAGAACUAGUAGGACUUCUGGGAGCAUUAAGACGGUACACUUCCAUCAUGGAACUGCCAACAGCAGAAUGCCCAUUCAUCUUUGACAUUGCCUCUGGAUCUCGAGAUGGUUUCUGCAGUGUUACUGCCUCAAAAGAUGGGGCGGCCUUGCCAUCUGGUGCUACCUUUGUCUGGAAAUUAUACUUUUUACUGUCUCUUGGACCUUCUAAACUUAAUCUUCUGGAACGAGUUGGUGCAGAAGGUGUUUUAGAUCUCCUUCUGUCAAUAGGAUUUAGAGUUUGAGAAUUUGUGUUGCUUCCCUUCUCAAUGCUCAGUCUCCGCACACGAGGAGGGGUUUGUUCGGUUAGUGCUUUUGGUUUCUCACAUGGAGGUCUUGGUUCCCUGCUUGCCAAUGAUUUCCUAAGGUUCUCAACCUGUUCCUUGAGUUGCAUAAUCUCACUGCUCUCUUUGUUUGCACAAGCAGCACCAAGUUCAACUGUAGAUACCCUCUGAGCAAACUUCAAUGUACUGAUUGUUUCCCCAAAAGAGUCUCCUUCGGGACUCACAUGAGCAAACAUCAAUGUUUUAGCAUGUCCACCUAAGGAGUCUUGCAGGAGAAGUGUGAGCUUGCUGUUUCUGUAAGGGACAUGAGAAUUCCUUUGAGCCAAGGCUGUGAUCACAUCUCCCAGACAGGAAAGAGACUUAUUGAUAUACUGUGCCUCUUUGAGUCUAUCUCCAGUAACUUCUGAUUUAUCUACUCUUUCACUUCCUGCAAGAUCUACCAAAUGCAGGCAACUAUGAAGGGUGCUUCCAGAUAUAUCUUUACCGUGCACAUGAACAGUCAGGAUACUAUGAGAUCGACUACUUCGGUUGUUGAUUGCAGUGGAACUGACAACUCGAUUCACCUCACCAAAUUUCAUCAGAUUAAGAACAUCAGCAGUGGACUUCACGGAGUACCUUUUAGCAUCUGGAAGACUCAAGCCAUUGUCACCACUGCAGCUGCGAAUCUCUAACUUAGUAGUUGAUGAAUCCUCUGCAAGAAGGUCUCUCACUUGCUCAUUAUAUAUUUCAACCAUUUGAACUUGAAUAUCAUAACUUAUAACCUCCUUCCUUUUCCUAGACAUCUGAAAGAGGUCAUUGAGUGCCAGAUAAUUAAUCCCCAUGUCUUUGGUUGAACCACCUGAUGGACCAGUCAUGGUAUAUGUUUUCCCUGAUCCAGUUUGACCGUAAGCAAAAAUGCAGACAUUGUAGCCAUCCAUCACAGACCUGAUUAACGGUUGGGUAUCAUUGUAUACCUCAUCUUGGGUUGCAGUAGGACCAAAUACUCUAUUAAACUGAAACAUUUUCCUUCCAUCUUUUUUGGGCUUCAAUGGAUCCAAGAUCAUUAACGAACCAUCAUUUCCAACAAAAUCUAUCACAUUACUUUUUUCACCAGCAAUGAUGGGCCUAAUUCUGCAGUAAACUCGAAUGUUUCCUUUUAAAUCCUGAACCAUGUUGUAUAAGUUCCUGUUCUCUUUCAAUACCCUGUGAUAUCCCAGAGCAGCAGUAGACAUCUCCUGUACCUGGUGUCCGAGUUCUCUCAAAUCUGUCUGAAACUUGGACUGUAAGUCUUCAAACUCUGUCUUUGUCUUUGUCAACAGGGCUUUCAGAUACACAAGUUCUUUUUCUUGCAUUUGAAAUAAAUGCCUGUGUUUGCAGUUACCCUUUCUUAAGCAAGCCCGACAACACUUAGAAUCUCCAAGUGCAGAUGAAUCCUCCAAAGGCACUGAUGUUGAAUUAUCUUGUAAGCCAAUUUUUUCUUUUAGAAAAAUCUUGAACAUUGAUUUCAACUCAGGGAAAUUGUUCUGAAUUUUAUCCUCCAAACAACUUGCCAUUAUCCUGCGCACUAACUUCUCCAUAUCCGUGUUGCCAGUAUGGAAGGACAUGAGAAUGGUGUCAUUUAUGUUUUCCUUUGCAUCAGCCAUAUGUUCAGCAAGUAACUUGAUAAUUAAAUCAGAAAGUUUCUGAAUGUCAACAUCUGCUGGCUGUUUCUCUGAUGCAGCUGACAUGUCUAAGCAUCUACAAGAGUCUGAUGAGAGGGAUCGAGAAUUGUUUGUGCUGGCAGGAUGCAUAACCAUAGGAGAUCUAAUAUGCUUAUUAAACCCAUUUCCACCGUUCAUCUGCUUGCACUCCUGGUACGAUUUAAGUGCUAAAAUGCAGUCGACCACCUUAGCUGCUGACCCUGCCUCCAGUGUAUCCAUCUCAAGAUCAGAAGCUUCAAAGGCAGGCAGCUUCAACUCUUCAAUAGCCACCAAAAAGUUCCUUACGUUCUCAAAAUACUGGUAGGCCGGUAACGGCUGCCAUUCUCGGUUUAGUGAUUGUAAAGGUGUAUGAUUUUCUACAAUCUUUGGCACUGCACCGGGAUGAACCUUGUUAAUGGCAUUGCACAGAACCAAGCCAUUUCUCAAGCGAGAAACGAACUCUUUCUCUGACGGAUGGCUGGAUAUGCCCAAUGGACCCACAAGGCUUUCAAGCCACGUGGCUGCUUGGAGUCGUCUCCAAGCUGCUUCUUCAGCUUUUCUUGAAGUCAAUAUAUCAUGUAAUCCAGCUCUUGCACAAUUCUCCAUUAAUGUCUAACCUUCUUGUUGCCUUUCUGGGUUGUCUAUCCGAUCAUAUAACCAGAAACCCUAGAAAAAUGAAAGAAAUGUCCCAGAAAGAAAAGAGAAAGAGAGCAGCGGUAGGGAGUACAGACUAAC
rnacentral:misc_RNA from 1 species